GAUGAACGCUGGCGGCGUGCUUAACACAUGCAAGUCGAACGGGAUCCAAGGGGUGCUUGCCCUCUUUGGUGAGCGUGGCGCACGGGUGAGUAACACGUGAGUAACCUGUCCUUUUCUUUGGGAUAAGCAUUCGAAAGGGUGUUUAAUACCUUAUGUUCUGUCUGCCUCGGAUGGGGUGGGUGGGAAAGGCUUUGGCCGGACUUGGGUGGGCUGGCGGUCUUUCUGCUGGUGGGUGGGACGAUGGCUAAUCAGGGCUUUGCAGGGUAGACGGUCGGUGGGGGUAGUCGGUCACAGUGGGGCUGAGGACUGGUCCAGACUCCUGCGGGAGGCAGCAGUGGGGGAUAGGGGACAAUGGGCGAAAGCCUGAUGCAGCGACGCCGCGUGGGGGAUGAAGGCCUUAGGGUUGUAAACUUCUAAUGCUCUGAACAAGGUAUGCCAGUGAGUGUGUGGAGUGUAGGGGUUGAUAAGCGCCGGCUAACUACGUG
rnacentral:rRNA from 1 species